AUACGGAGGGUGCAAGCGUUGUUCGGAAUCACUGGGCGUAAAGGGCGCGCAGGUGGUUUGGUAAGUCAGAUGUGAAAGCCCACGGCUCAACCGUGGAAGUGCAUUUGAAACUGUCAGACUUGAGUACUAGAGGGGAAAGUGGAAUUCCCGGUGUAGAGGUGAAAUUCGUAGAUAUCGGGAGGAAUACCGGUGGCGAAGGCGACUUUCUGGCUAGAUACUGACGCUGAGGCGCGAAAGCGUGGGGAGCAAACAGGAUUAGAAACCCCAGUAGUCC
rnacentral:rRNA from 1 species